rnacentral:lncRNA from 1 species
GGGGACAAGCGCCGGACUAAGUCGGACUGGACAAAGAGUCAAGUCCAGUCGGCCGUUUGUUUGUGAAAAAAUGGUUCCGGACUAGGAGUACGGUCGGACUAAUAGUCCGGGCAUUUAUACGACUAAGAUGUCCCACCCCCACCCUGGAAGCUAGUCCCCGGACUAAGCCACCUUCGGACUAUUAUGAAAUUACUCUAAUUGGCCCUUACAUUAAAGAAUUUCCCUCCAAUAAAAGAAGAGAGAGAAAGGAGAGAGAAGAGAAAGAGAGAAGAGAGAGGGCAGGGGGGUUGAGAGUGGAUGGUGGAGGGGGGGGUUAAUAAAUUGGAUGGUUGAGAAAGGAAUUUUUUUAUCAAGUUGUUUGUGGGCAUAAAUAAACAGUGGUUUUUAAAAAAAAAAUUACACGUUUUUCUAAAAAAAUAAUUUUUUUAAAAAAAUAUUUAAUCAAAAAAAAAUAUUUUUAAAAAACAAAUAAUGUUGAAAGAUAUUAUUUUAUUGAGAACAAUUUUUUAGAAAAUAGAAUAAUGUUGAUGUUAUAAAAAAGUGUUAUGUUUCAAAAAUAAUAUUUUUUUUCAAAAUUAAUAAUUUUUACAAAUUAUUUGCUAAAAUUUAAAUAAAAAAAAAAUUACCAUUUUCAGUCGUAUUCUCGUUAGAGAAAUUAAAAAAGUUUUAAAAAUUUUAAUGAAAAUAGUUAAAAAAUAUGAAUAAUAGGAAAAAAAGGAGGAGGGAAGAGGAGGAAAAAGCCAGGAAAGACAAAGAAGAGAAAAGAAAAAAAGGAUAGGGGGGAAAAAGGGGGGGAAAGAAAGAGAAAAUCUAUAGGGGGGGAGAGAGGGGUGAGGAAAGAUUGGGGAAAAAAAGAUGGGGUGUUCGAAAACGAAAAACGGUUAAUUUUUAAAAAAGAAAACUGUUAUCCAAAAUAAUUAAAAACUGAUAAAUGAAGGGGUAUGGGUCAUUUCCUUCAUUUUCCCGCCGAUUGGUAGCAAAAGCACAUAGGACAAGACUGGAUUAUCAUUAUCCAGAGUUUUGUCCGGAGCAGCAAAACAAAACGAGCUACACGAUGAUUUAGUCCGACAUUAUAUCCGGAGCAGCUCUUUUGUCCAGUCGGAGCCUCCUUGUCCAGUCCGCGAAAACAUCCUUUGUCCAGUCCGGCAAACAAACGAGGCCACAAGAGAAACAACCUCGGCCUCCCAUCAAAGAAAAUUCAUUAAAAAUCGGGGCAUUUGGGUUUUUUGGGCUCAUUUUUUAUUAAAUUAAAGACGUGUUUUCAUUUUUUAUUAGUUUUUUCUAUUUUUUGGUUGCUCGAUAAUUUUUUCUUCCUUUUAAACCUUAAACUAGGAAAAAUAGAAACUAAAAAUAUUGGAGAUUUCACCCAAAGACAAAAAUAUUACAGGGUUUUUAUGACAUUGUCUUAGAGAUUUUUUUUAAUUUUUAUGAUUUCAUUAUCAAAGAUGCUUCUGAAAUUAAAAAAAUUUGGCCAAAGGGUUAAGAAAUAACACUGAACUGAAGGCAAAAAAAAACUAAAUAGUAGGUAUUUUUGGCUUAAUAUUGUCCUUUUGAACUACUUUCGUAAAAGCUAAUGAGAGGUAAUUAUAAGUGAGAGUAAAAAAAAAUUAGGGCCAGAGUGAAAUUUAAAUAAGUAUUUUAGGUAACGUAAAUUCUAUAGGUGAGUGCAAUUACUCACCUAUAAACAAAGAAAUUAAAAUAUGUUUUACUUUUGGAUUCAUUCUAAAUAUAGAAAUUUAAAAAAAAUAUUCCCAAAAGAAUGGUGUGUUUUGGCUUAUUUUUCUUUAAAGACUUGUUUUCAUCUUUUGUUGGUAAUUUCUACAUUUUGGUUGCUUAAUUUUUUCUAGAGAAAAUUUCCAAUAAGUAAAGUAGUACUUUUCAUGGCAAAGGACCAUUGAGAAUUAUUAAUUUUUAUUUGGAUAACCAAAUUCUAUUUUACAUAAAAUUACGAUAAUUAAGUUCAAACUCAAUAAUAACGUUUGUUAUUCUCUUUUUGCCCUUACUAGUUCAAUGAGAUACGAAUAAUAAAUAAAAAAGAAUCUUAGACGUUAAAGUAACAAAUAACAGAAUAUAAGAAAAAAUAUAAUGACAUGAUAUAUUCUAUUUUUACACCUUGAAAUCUCAUUUUUAAUUAAUUUUUUAAUCAAUUAUAAAUUUAAUUUUAUAUUUUUAAUUAUAUGAAUUAUAGCGUUGUAAUAUCUUAACCAACUUUCAUUUCUUAUAUUAAAAAGAAAUCUCAUUUCUUAGUUGGCCAAAAAUUUAAAAAACAAGUCAUAUCAUCACGCCCCCCGUUGGACUAAAAAACCCUAAAAUUGCAGUACACAUAAUAAUUCAUAAGUUAUUUUCAAAUUCAAAAUAUAUUUCCAAAUACAUCAAAGUUUAUAUACUUGUCUAAGUUACACACUUUUUUAUUUUUUUGUUUUUAAAAAUAUUUUAGAAAAUAAUACAGUUGAAAAAAUAUUUAGAAAACUAACACUGUUAGGCGAGUCAUCAAUGUCAUUGACGACUCUCGAGUCAAUAAUGACAAUAGCGACCCUCGAGUGCACCCAAACGACAUCGUUUUGGUUUAAAUUAUAGAGAAAAAAAAGUAUUGAUAGAGACCUAUAUGAUAGCUAUUUAAAAUUCUAUUCUAAUAAGGAGAGCAAGUAUUAUCUGAAUCAUUCUAAUCUUCUACCCAGUUGUUUUAAACAUUUUUUUGAUUUUUCAAGUUUUUUGGUUUUCGUGAUUUUUUCACAUCUUAUGAAAAUUUUUUUGUUUAAAAUUAAAAAAAGAAUUCGCUACAUACAAAAGAAAUAGUUAAUCUAUUAAGUAAAAUAAUUUAAUUUUUUUCUUUUGUAAUUUUUUUUCUCUCUCUUCAACAGGAAUUGAAAUGUAUAAACUCUUGAUCAGAUUAUGAGAAAAAAAUUACAACAAAAUUCAAAAACUGAAACAGGUAAAAAUUCUAAAAUAAACUAAUCGAAACUGGGAGUUAGUGAGAGUCUAGUCUAAAUUUCUCAUUUCUCUUGAUAAGAAAGUAAGUCACAUGAAUUGUGGAUUACAGAGAAAAACAUCAUUUGAAAAAUGAUAAAAUUAAAUUAACGGGACCAAUUAGGUUCAAUUUGGUACAACUUAGUUAACUUGAAAGUCACUUUAACUAUUUUGGCAUCGAGUUUUUUUUUAGUUAUCUUUUUGUAUUAUUUAAUUAAAGUUUUAUACUUUUAUAGAUCUCUCAACGAGAUAAAUAUGAAAAUCUAUUUUUUUUGUUUAGUUUAAAAAAAUCAUUAAUAAUAAAAAAAAAUAUUUUUUAUACACACUCUCUUUAUCAGAUUAGACUGUUUCGGAUAAUACCUGCUCUCCUUAUCAAAUAAAUGACGAAUAGAUUAGAUUGCUUUCUUAAUAGGCUCUACUCAUUGUGCAUUAGGGCGACAAUUGUGUUAGUUUUGUUAAUUUUUUUUUUAACUGUGUUUAUUUUUUAAAAUAGUUUUAAAAAAAAUGUUGAAAAAUAAAAAAGAAUAGUAAUAGGUACACACCAAAAAAUAGGUGUGUACAAGACACACCCAUUUUGUCCCCUCACAAAAUAAGUGGGACCCGCCCUAAUUAGGAUUUUCACGUUUUUCUAAAAAUCUUAAUUAAGGCGGGUCCCACUUAUUUGUGAGAGAGCAAAAUAGGUCUUGUACACAUCUAUUUUUGAGUGUGUACCAAUCAUUAUUCCAAUAAAAAACUAUAUCACUUUGACUUAGAAAAGAUUAUCAAAUGUUAUACGAUAUGAAAAGAAAAAAAAUUAUAUUUCAAAAUUUUCAUGAUUUAUUAUUUAUUUGUUUCAAAAUAAAAAAAAAAUUGAUCAAAUUGAAUUUUUAGAAGAAGUAUUUAUUUAAAAUUCGAAUUCAGAUGAACUUAAACGAAUUUACAAAUUAUAAAUUCAAAAUUGAUUGAAAUCAUUAUUUAAAUUAAACAAGCAAGUUAUAAGUUAAAUUUAUUGGGCCUAUGUUGUUGUUUCGAGGUUUUGCCGUUUCCGUAAUUGAUUUAUAGAUGGAGAUACGGCAUUUGAGACCACCGUGUACGAGACAGAAAAUUACGUACAGCUCAUUUAUUGUGUGUGUGGUGUGAGAGAGAGAGAGAGAGGGGGGGAUUGUACAGUCUUGCAUUAAUGAGACAGAAAACUACUGCUACAGACUGCAGUUGUAAUAUCCCGACUCUUAAUUACCUAUAGUUAUUUCAGAAAAUAAAAACUUUUGUAAUUUAAAUUAAGGCAUUUAAUUCAUUCUGGUGUUAAAUUAAAAGAUUAGUAACUUUUGGGUUAAAAUAAAGAGACAUUUAAAUAAAGUAAUUACUUAAAAAGUUGGAGGGGCUAAAGUGGCAAUUUUAAGGGACAAAGACAAAUUCGUUGUUCCCUUCGGGGAAAAAGAAAAAUAAAUAAGUAAAUAAAUUAAAAAACCAUCAUCAUGGGGACUGUUUUUUUUUUUUUUUUUUAAUUUUUCUGCCAAAAAAAAGGAAAAGAAAAAGAAAAAUAAAAAAAAAAUAAAAUAAUAAAAUAUAUUAAUUAGAUAUAUUUAUAUAAUACGUGGGGGGUUGUCGGUGUUGUUGUAAAUAAGGAGAGAAGGGGAAAGCUGAGGAAAGAGGGAGACGAGAGAACGGGAACAUGGAUAGAAAGAGAAGGGAGAAGAACAGAGAAAUCGCCAAGGAAGAGGAAGAGGAAUUAUUGAGGUAAAUUCAAAUUCUUUCUCCAAUUUCUUGUUAAUUUCUGAUAUGGUCGAAUGUAUUAUUGCCAACUCAUAGUUAAUGUAAAUAAUCUUGUCAAGAUAUCCAAAAAUUUUAACAUUUGGAAAAUCUUUUUUGGAAACACAAUUUAGUAUUGAAUUGAAAUACGAUUUUUACGCACCGGACCAGCAGUAGUAUUUGUUUUGGCACAACUCGCUCAUACGAUAUCCGUUUGAGUGUGAUUCAAGUUUCAUAUGAAAGAACUUUAAAUAUCUACAAGUUAUCGUGAAAUACCAAAAUUUUCCAAUUUCAAGCUUAAGGUCUAAAAUCGGGACUGGGAAGUACGAGUAGAAAAACGAAUUAAGUUAUGUUUUUAUUUCGAAUCUACUGUCGUAUUUUAGCCAUAACUAUUCAUACGAAAAUAUUUUUCAGUUGAUUUCAAGUAUCUGAGAAUAGCUAUUUUAAAUACCUACAAGUUUAUGUGAAAUUAAUAAUUUUCAAAUUCGAAGUUUAACUUGCUCAAAUAGACUUGAAGUCGAGUAGAAAAAUCGGAGUUACGUUAGGUUGUUAUUCAAAACUCAAUGUCGUAUUGAGCCCAUAACUUUAUCUCAUACGCAAUAUGUUUAGUUGAUUAAGUGUCCUAAAAAGCUAUUUCAAUACUACGAGUUAUGUGAAAUAAUACUUUUCAAAUUCGAACUUUAAAUGGUUCAAAAAGACUUGAAAAUUCGAGUAGAAAAACUAAGUUACGUUAGGUUGUAUUCCAAACUCACUGUUGGAUUUAGCCAUAACGUUUAUAUGAAAACAUUUAUUAAUUGAGUCAAGUGUCCGAGAAUAGCUAUUUUAAAUACCUACAAGUUUUAUAUGAAAUAAAUUUUUUAAAUUCGAAAUUAAAUGACUCAAAAACAGAUUGAAGUCCGAACAAAAAAACUGCUUUCUAAUUUUUCAGUUCAGCUAGUUGAAUAGUUUUCGACUAGUUUGGCUUUACAAAAAAAAUUAUUUUUUUAAAUAAAAACCCCAAAAAAAAAAAAUAUGUAGGUUAGCCUCGUACUUGAAAAAUAAACUUAGUACAUAAUAAAUACUUAAAUAAAGAUAUUAACGUAUUUAUGUCAACACAUAAUAUAUAACGAUCGAUCGAUUAGCCUAUGGAACAAGACGAACGGUGAACACACUACUCAGCACAGCAAUGUAACGUAACCUUAAUCUCUAAAGUAGAGUAACUUACUUUUGCUGCUAUGAUAUAUGCAUAACAUUAUGUUAUGCUAUGCUAUGCAACUCCCAUGACCUGAAUAGAUAUGAAUCUGUUGAAACGAGUUUAUGUAUAUGCCUAUGAACCAUCAUGUUGCUACCUUGCGAGAAGGUACUCGGCCGGCCAGGACCGGAGGGUGGAAAAUUACGUUAUCAAACCCGACUAAGGACGGGAGGUCAUAGUGCAAAUGUAUGUUUUAAGAAUUAUGUUGACUCAGAUAUAGUCAAAAGGACAAGGACAGCAUGAAUUGUGAACAAGUUAUUGCGAAAGAUUAAAUGUUUUAUUUUCUUCCCGCUAUAUAUGUUAUAGGCAUCUAACCAUGGUAUUUUUAGUUUUGCAUAUGUAUAUUAAAACCUAUGUAGAGCUUAUUGUUUAUACGCUAAGGCAAAUGUUGCUUAGAAAUAAUUUGUUUGACAAUAUUUCAGGUGAUACGGAAAUAAGUGAAGUUAAAUGGUUAGACUUCAUGUUAUGUAAUAAGAAACACGAAUUUAUGUAGUAUAGUCCGGAUGAGAAAGUCCGGACAGCUUGGAAUAUGUAAUUAUCGAAGUAUGUAUGAAGUUAGACAUGUACAGUCUCUCUACCGUUCAUGGGCAUGUAUUUCAAAUGCUUGAAUUUAAUAUUGAGUUUAUUGACUCCAAAAAUAAAUUUAUAUGUCGCAUUCAGCACACAAAAAGUUUUUUUUAAAGAAAAGACAAAACGUUUAAAAAAAAAUUGUACGAAGGAAAAUCAAAGUGACGAGCUCGAUGCCGCGGGGACCAGUGGGCGUCGGGCAGGUCGUUACAACAGUCAGACUCCUGUUGUCAUGGAAAAUGCCUAUGGGUACCCAAAUGCAUACUUAAGAGAGAGAGAAAACACAACAGGAGUAGCCCCCCAACCUCAAAUGUGUGGAGCCCACCCCAAGUAUGUGGAGCCCACUCCUCUUAUGUCUCUCUCUCCUUGGUGUGCAUUUGGGGUACCCAUAGCACUACUCUGUUGCCAUCAUCACAGCACACACUAUCACGGCAUCACUAACCACAAUCACCCCUCGUUACAUACUAUCGGGUAAUGUUACGAGUACAAUCAAGUUGUAUCCCAAAUGCACACCCAAUGAGGUGUCGUAUUUGGAUUGACUGGGUGUUGAGUCCACCCAAUUCUUUCAUCCUACACCUACCCACCCCAAAUGCGAUACCUCAUUAGGUAUGCAUUUGAGGUACAAAUUUGAUUGUACCCAUAGCAUUUUCCUAUAUUAUCCGAGCAAAGCAACAUGAAAAAAUUGACAGUUGAGAAUUAAUAAUCUACAUUGUAGGAUACAAUUAAUAAUCCAUAUUUUUAUAAUAAAAAAUAAUUUCUGCACUUUAAAAUUUAAUUUCUUCACUCAAAUUAAUAUCAUAUUGAUGUUAAUUUUUACACUCCUACUUUUAUAAAAUUUAGAAUGCAGAAAUUAAAAUUGAAAGUGCAGAAAUUAAUUUCAUUUAUAAUUAAGCCGAAGGAAAAAAAAUUGUACUUUAAAGCCCUUGAUUGGUAGACCUUAAGGCCAUGUUUGUUUGCCCGGACUAGGUCGGACUGGACAACGAGUCCGUCCCAUAUUUGUUUUACAUAAAAUUGACUUCGGCAGCAAAUAGUCCGCUAAUGGACUAAUAGUCCCGCAUAUGUGGACUAUCCUAUCCUCGCGGUGGUAGGUGGGACUAUUAGGCCCAUGACACUGAAGUCUAAAGUUGGACAAAUAUGUAAAUUACUAAUUUGUUCACAAUAUUUGGGAUAAUUUUCCUCUCUGAUCUCUCCCCCUUCUCCUCUCUCCCCUCUCUGUCUUUUUUUUUGUUUUUUUUUAUUAGUUUUUUCUUAAUAAUUUUUCUUAUUUUUUUUUUAAAUAAUUAAUUUUUUUAUUAAUUUUUUUGGGAUAAAUAAGCUUUUUUUUAAAAAUAAACCUUUUUUCUGAAAAAAUAUUUUAUUAAAAAUAAUUUAAUCAAAAAAUAUUAAAAAAACCAAAUAAUUUAAAAAAUUCUUUUUAUUGAGAACAAAUUUUAGAAAAUAUAACAAAUUUUCUUUUAUAAAAUAAAGUAUUUUUUUUAAAAAUAUCUUGUUUUUCAUAAUAAUAUUUUACAAAUUUAUUUUCAAAAAUUUAAAUAAUUUUUUUUCAUUUCAUCUUUCAUCUCGUUAAAGAAAUCAAAAAAUUUAAAUUUUAAUCAAAAUAUUUAAAAAUAUCACUAAUAUUAAAAAUUAUUAUGUAAUAUAGUGAAAAAUAUAAAUAAAUACGUAUAAAAGGAAAAAUUAUUAUAUGUCUGAAAACUGUUUUCAAUAAAAUAUAUAUUCCACAAAAUUAUUUUUUUUAUAUAUUUUUUAUAAAUAUUUCAAAAGUUAUUUUUUUAGAAAAUAUUUAAUUUAAAAAAAAAAUUCAUUGUUUAGCAUCAAAAUAAAUCAAACUGAUAAAAAAUUAUUUAAUAACAAAAAAAAAAUCUUAAAAAAACUAAUAAAAAAAGAAACAAAACAAAAAAAAGGGGAAGAGAGAAGGAGAUAAUAGAGAGAGAGUAUUAUCCAAUUGUGUGAGGCAAAUUAGUAAAAUUAAUGUAAAGGGGUAAUUGUCAUUUCGUCAUUUUGUUCAGUUUCGUAUUGCUUGGCAAACGCUAACUGGGACAAGACUUGACACCAUUAUCAAGAGUUGUUGUCCGAGCAAAAACAACAGCUCACAUAGAAUUAAAUCCACAUUAUAUCCGGGGCCAAUAUUCGGAGACUAUUAGUCCUGAGACUUUUUGUCCAGUCCGACAAACAAACGAGACUUAAGGACGUAGCAUACUUGCAUAUACAUAGUAGGUGUGGUCCAUAUGUUAGUAUUAAAUUUUGGGAUACUUUGGGCAUUAGGGUGUCCCAAAAAGAAGAGAGGUGAUCCUCACCCCCCGACAGCCCCCUCUCCCUUGUCCCCUCAAUUUACCAAAAUGCCCCCAUUACUCUCUCUCACACAUCCCCCUCUCACUCUCCCUUUUCCCAGUUUUUUAGAUUUCUUUUUUUAGUUUUUUUUCAUUAAUUUUUUAUUUUUAAUUUUUUUUCAGUUUUUUAUAGUUUUGUUUUUUUCUAUUAUUUUUUUAAUCAAUGUUUGUCUUUUUUAUCAAAUUUAUUUAUUUUUAUCAAUUUUAUUUUUUUGGAUUAAAAUAUAAUUUAUGUUUAUAUUUCUCUCAAUUUAUAAAAUUUAAUACAAAAUUAAAAAAUAUUGAAUUUACUACUGUAUUGAUAUGUUAAAAAUUAUUAUUUUUCUUAUGGGUUUUUUUAAUACCAUCUCUACUUCCAAUUUUAAAAAACAAAUUGGAAAAUAGAGGGUAUAAAAAAAUAUAAAUAAAUUCUUAUGUUUUAAAAGAAGUUAUAUAAAAAUUUUGAAAGUGAAAGUAAAAAAAAAAAAUUAAAAAUUAUUUUUUUAAUAAACUAAAACUCAAUGGUUGUUAGUAAAAAAAAUAAUUUAAUGGGUGAGAGAGAAAGAGAAAAUAUGAUGGGCAAAUUUGCCCAAAAAUUGCCUAAACCAGUCACAUCCCCGCACAUCCCGUAUCAAGGGGUUGGGAAAAAUAAUUUUCAUAUCACAAAAGAUUACAAUUUUUAUCAAUUUUUUUGAAUAAAUAUUUUUUUUAUUAUAUAUUUGUAAUCUUUUGUUUAUUCUUUAGUUGUAGAUUUUGAAAGUCAUUAUUUAAAAAAAUAUAAAAAUAUGAAUCAAAAUUAAAAAAAAGCUAAACUAAAACAAAAAGAUAAUUAAUGAAAAAAAAGAAAUAAAAUUUAUUUAAAAAAUAAAAAAAUUAAUAAAAAAAAGAAACAAAACUAAAUAAGAAUUAAACAAAUUUAAAAAGGAAGAAAUAAAUUUGAUUAAAAAAAAACUACACAGAUAAAAAGAGAGAGAGAGAGGGGUAUGAAUAUCAUUUCUUGACGGAACAAGGGGGUGGGAGGGAGUGUGUGUGGGGCGGGUUUCGGGUGGGGGGUGUGGGUGGGUGUAGUUAGUGUGGGGGUGGGUUGGGGGCGGCGGGGGGGUGGGGGCGUGGUGGGGUUGUUAUUUUCUGGGUGGAGGGAAAAUAAAUUCCCAAAAAGUUAAAAAUACAAACAAUCAAUUACUUUUUGAAGAUACGA